CACGUAGGGUGCAAGCGUUGUCCGGAAUCAUUGGGCGUAAAGAGCUCGUAGGCGGCUUAGUAAGUCGGGUGUGAAAACCCCAGGCUCAACCUGGGGACGCCACCCGAUACUGCUAUAGCUAGAGUCCAGUAGGGGAGUGUGGAAUUCCCAGUGUAGCGGUGAAAUGCGCAGAUAUUGGGAGGAACACCAGCUGCGAAGGCGGCACUCUGGGCUGGUACUGACGCUGAGGAGCGAAAGCGUGGGUAGCGAACAGG
rnacentral:rRNA from 1 species